rnacentral:rRNA from 1 species
UCGAAAGGGAAACAGCCCAGACCACCAGCUAAGGUCCCAAAAUAAUUGUUAAGUGGAAAAGGAUGUGGGGUUGCACAGACAACUAGGAUGUUAGCUUAGAAGCAGCUAUUCAUUCAAAGAGUGCGUAAUAGCUCACUAGUCGAGUGACCCUGCGCCGAAAAUGUACCGGGGCUAAAACAAUUUACCGAAGCUGUGGAUACCUUUAUAGGUAUGGUAGGAGAGCGUUCUAUGUGUGAAGAAGGUAUACCGUGAGGAGUGCUGGAACGCAUAGAAGUGAGAAUGCCGGUAUGAGUAGCGAAAGACAGGUGAGAAUCCUGUCCACCGUAAGACUAAGGUUUCCAGGGGAAGGCUCGUCCGCCCUGGGUUAGUCGGGACCUAAGGAGAGACCGAAAGGUGUAUCCGAUGGACAACAGGUUGAUAUUCCUGUACUAGAGUAUGUAGUGAUGGAGGGACGCAGUAGGCUAACUAAAGCAGACGAAUGGAAGAGUCUGUCUAAGCAGUGAGGUGUGAAUUGAGUCAAAUGCUUAGUUCUAUAACAUUGAGCUGUGAUGGGGAGCGAAGUUUAGUAGCGAAGUUAGUGACGUCACACUGCCAAGAAAAGCUUCUAGCGUUUAAACAUACUCUACCCGUACCGCAAACCGACACAGGUAGUCGAGGCGAGUAGCCUCAGGUGAGCGAGAGAACUCUCGUUAAGGAACUCG